AACGAACGCUGGCGGCAGGCCUAACACAUGCAAGUCGAACGCUUGUAGCAAUACGGGAGUGGCGCACGGGUGAGUAACGCGUGGGCACCUGCCCGGUGGUUUGGGAUAACCGUGGGAAACUGCGGCUAAUACCGGAUACGCCCUUAGGGGGAAAGAUUUAUCGCCAUCGGAUGGGCCCGCGUAGGAUUAGCUAGUUGGUGAGGUAACGGCUCACCAAGGCGACGAUCCUUAGCUGGUCUGAGAGGAUGAUCAGCCACACUGGGACUGAGACACGGCCCAGACUCCUACGGGAGGCAGCAGUGGGGAAUAUUGGACAAUGGGGGCAACCCUGAUCCAGCCAUGCCGCGUGAGUGAAGAAGGCCUUCGGGUUGUAAAGCUCUUUUGGCGGGGACGAUGAUGACGGUACCCGCAGAAUAAGCCCCGGCUAACUUCGUGCCAGCAGCCGCGGUAACAC
rnacentral:rRNA from 1 species